GUGGACUCGGCGUGUCGAAGGGAACCCGGAUUUUAGCUCCAGCUUUGUGGUUGUUACUUUUCGGGGGGAGAAAUUGCUCACUGAACCUAGCUUGAGAUUGGCUGGCAGCUGAAUCCCUGGGGAUGUGCCCGUCGCUAUGCAACUGUGCUGGCAUUAUUGUUGAUCAUACUAUGCUUUGUUUAUUAAGCCCUGUAGGAAUUAUGAAGAGGAGGCUCCACCCCCUUCUAAGAUCAUGAAAACACAGAGCAAAAAGAAGUGCAAUCCCGUCUCUGCCCAACAGGUGGUACAGUACUCUCCUUCAGUCUUUGCCACCAUUUCUCAGACCACUGCCAGGAAAUCUUCCCUUCACAGAUGAAAAAAUGUCCAUGAGGUGAUGCAAUCUGUCCAGGAUCACACAGCCAGUCGGUGUCAGAGUCUGUGGAGAAAAAGUGAGAUUCCUCUUUUGGUCCCUUUUCCAAUCCUUGCUGCAGAGUAACCUGCUCAUACGCGCACAUCGCACAUCGUGCAGGGUCUGGUUUGUAUGCAUUGGUGCUACAAGUGGCUGUUAUCUUCCUGCGCCUUCCAAGGAGGUCAUGUUCUGCAACUCGCUUUUCCUACUUAGCCCCAAGACUUAGAAUCUUUACCAUUUGGGUUUUGAUUGAUUUGAUGAUUGAUUGAUUUUUGUUGUUUUUCAAAACAGGGAUUCUCUGUGUAGCCCUGGCUGUCCUGGAACUCUUUAUGUAGACCAGGCUGGCCUCCAACUCAGAUAUUUGCCUGCCUCUACCUCCUAAGUGUUAAGACUAAAGGUGUGCGCCACCGC